CACCGCUUUUUGGAGAUUGGAAACACAUGGAAAACCAAAUAAGUAGUGCUUGGUGACUUUGGUCCCAUAGCAAAGGGUGAAGUUGUGUCUUUCCUGAAUUCGAGUGCAUGCUGUUUGGGAGAAUUCUUUAACUGUUAGCUCCGGCCCAAACAAUCGUAAGUAGUGUAUACGAAUUAUAUACCAAAUCCGACCAGUUCUUGACAAUUCGACCACAAUCCAUCUUCCCCACAUUGUU